UUUUGAUUGGUGCCACGCUUUUGACGAGGUCAUUUACACGCGGCAUUUCCCUGACUCUGGAGACGGGAUCGUUCGGAGCACAAAGCGUGGAACUGAAACGGCCCUUUUUGUGCAGCAGGAGCCCAAAUGUCGCAUCACUUUCCUGAAACAGGCCGAAAAUCAGCAGGUAAACAUCUGCACGAUGCCUCCGAACAACCGGCCGAGUGCAAAGAAAAAAAGACGAUGAGGAACAAAGUCUUUCCCCGGUCAGCUUCCAGGAUUGUUGGACGCCUCCGCCUCAGUUAGGAAGCGGCGAAAUAUCAUCAGAUUAGGUCUGCUGAAGCUGCGAGGAGAAAUGAAAAGUGUCUCUCCACCUCUGGGGAACUUUGGACUCCAUGAUGUUGGGGUGCGGUCGGGGCUAAAAGGUCAACUCCUCGUUUCUCCCGCCGACGCAUUGUUCUUCCGCGAGAGGUGACGGCGUCUGUCAAUCAGGACCUUUGCGGAGGGACAAAGGCCAUUCAGAGGCCGCCAUGAGAAAUGUCAAGGAUGCUGAGAUAAAAAA